rnacentral:lncRNA from 1 species
UAUGGAAAAAAAUUCAAAGACAAUUAUGUGAUUUUUUUUUUGAAAAGAUAGAAGCCUCCCGAUCUCUGCAUCGCGACGCACACGGUCAUCAAUUAUAAAAAAGCAUUUAAAUUCCUUUCAGUCUAAGACAGGCGUGCCAUCCAAACCGAGUAAAAAACCUCGUUCUACAAUUUCCAAACGGUUGCAUCUAUAUUCCUUAAAUUCAUGCGCCGCCGUCCGAAGCAAUAGAGAAAGUACAGAGCCAACGGGAUGCGUGAAGAAUAACCGCUGUUGGAGGAGCAAAAGGAUGUUGUAAAUCUAGUAGGGUGGUGAAAUAGAGCAUCUCUUAUUGGUUUCGUCGAACGGAUGUCGCUCCGCACUCGAACCAUUCCCUAUAGGUUCAACCGCCACAAAGAUAUAUUCAACUCCAUUUUUAUCUCGCAAUCGGAGGUAGUGUUCCAAAAGUCAUAAACGAGAGACAACAAUUUUUUUAGGUAGGACGAACUCGUAUACCGACACAUAACAUUUAAUUUAUUUUUUAUAGUUGUUAAAAUGCAUUUAAUUUACUUGGUUAUUACUAUUUUUAAUAAGUCUUAUAAUGUUGUGUUUUGAACAUUUAAUAUUUCCACAUGUUGAUUUUCUUUGUUUUUUUUAUUAAAUUUGAUAUUUGGAAUGCUCGCAACCAUCCUAUACUAUUUAGGUUUCAUGCAAAUACAAAAUAUUCCCGCAUCACACAAAAGUACAAACUAACAAAUGCAACAUGUGAAGUUAUCUGGGUCCGAAACUCUAUAAAAAAAUUUGGAGUGUAUCAAAAAAGAGUUGCAUACAUAUCUGUGGUGUAAUAAUCUCGGUGCUAAAUAUUUUUGCAGUAGUCCUUCAAGAAACAUCUCCAAACUUAUAUAACAAAA